rnacentral:rRNA from 1 species
GUAGGGAAUCUUGCGCAAUGGGCGAAAGCCUGACGCAGCCAUGCCGCGUGAAUGAUGAAGGUCUUAGGAUUGUAAAAUUCUUUCACCGGGGAAGAUAAUGACGGUACCCGGAGAAGAAGCCCCGGCUAACUUCGUGCCAGCAGCCGCGGUAAUACGAAGGGGGCUAGCGUUGCUCGGAAUUACUGGGCGUAAAGGGCGCGUAGGCGGAUAUUUAAGUCAGGGGUGAAAGCCCGGGGCUCAACCUCGGAAUUGCCUUUGAUACUGGAUAUCUUGAGUUCGGGAGAGGUGAGUGGAAUGCCGAGUGUAGAGGUGAAAUUCGUAGAUAUUCGGCGGAACACCAGUGGCGAAGGCGACUCACUGGCCCGAUACUGACGCUGAGGCGCGAAAGCGUGGGGAGCAAACAGGAUUAGAAACCCUAGUAGUCC